CUCUCUCUCUCAUACACACACACACACACACACACACAUUUUGGGUUUAAAAUAUAUUGACUAUAAAGAGAAUGCCAGACAGAAACUCUUCGUGCCAAGUGUGUUAAGUAUCUCAUACACUUUGCCAAUUGAAGCCAUGUCAUUAGCAUGAGCCUAGGAAUCAGGGCACAGGGGGAAAGCAAGGGCCCCGCGGGAAGGAUGGGGGAGGGAAGUUCUCUGACGUGAUCACACUGAGCCUGUCCAGGGUUCUAACCAGGAAGAAGCUUCUUGAAGAAGUUGCUGCAGACAAAGGAAACACCAAGUGUGCAGUCUUUGAGCUCUCCAAGAUGGGAAAAUGGUCUGCUGAGAGCUAGAAGCAGUUUUCGGUCUCCCUGAAGGGGAAAUCUGAACAUCCUUGACCAGGCUGGUCCUUUGGUUUGGGGAAAACUUACCUCUGUGGUCCUUGGGGUAGGCAGAUGGCCUCAGAGAGGAGCCCUGUGACCUUCUCUCUGGUACUAUGCCUGCAGUGAUGUCAACUUACAUGGCAAAAGGGACUUUGCCGAUAUCAGUGAGGCUACUAAUCAGCUGAACGUAAAACAAAUCAUCCUGGAUUAUCCAGAUGUGCCCAAUAUAAUUGCACAAAUCCUAAAAACAGAAAAGAAAGGCAGAGAGAUUUUCAGUAUGAGUGUUUUAACAAAUUCUGGUGUACAGGGUACAAGAACCAGCCAUCAAAGACAGAAGGAAGGUGUCAACAGACUGAAGAAAGGCUGACAAAUCUAGGAUUGUACAAGGUGCCAUUUGUUAGGGACUUAGAGACAGAAGCACAUCUUGGGCCACAGCAAGGCAGGAAGAUCCGCAACCCCAAAGCAGGAGGAAAGGGUUCACAAAGGGUCUGAAAAGCUCGAUACCAAGAUGACCGUAAUCACAUCAACCUGGAUCCCUGUAGCGAGCAAAACACACCAUUGUUGGCUUUGAAGAUGGAGGGGCUACAAACCAAGGAUCACAGACAGCUUCUGGAAGUGGAGAACACCUCCGGCUGUCAGUCAGUGAGGGAGCAGGAACCUCCAUCCUACAACCACAGGGAGAACCAGAAGCAGGUUCUUCCCCGCGUCUCCCAAAAACCCAGACUGAUGACAUCUUCAUUCUGGCCUUGUGAGACCCUAAGCAAAGGACUCAGGAGCCCAGCUGGAACUUCUGACCAACAGAAUUGUGGGGUAAUAAACUGUAUUUUUUGAGCUGUUAAA